rnacentral:rRNA from 1 species
CCAGACUCCUACGGGAGGCAGCAGUGGGGAAUAUUGGGCAAUGGGCGCAAGCCUGACCCAGCAACGCCGCGUGAAGGAAGGAGGCUUUCGGGUUGUAAACUUCUUUUCUCAGGGACGAAGCAAGUGACGGUACCUGGGGAAUAAGCCACGGCUAACUACGUGCCAGCAGCCGCGGUAAUACGUAGGUGGCAAGCGUUAUCCGGACUUACUGGGUGUAAAGGGCGUGUAGGCGGGACUGCAAGUCAGAUGUGAAAACUCAGGGCUCAACCCUGAGCCUGCAUUUGAAACUGGGUUUCUUGAGUGCUGGAGGGGCAAGCGGAAUUCCGUGUGUAGCGGUGAAAUGCGUAGAUAUACGGAGGAACACCAGUGGCGAAGGCGGAUUGCUGGACAGUAACUGACGCUGAGGCGCGAAAGCGUGGGGAGCAAACAGGAUUAGAUACCCCCGUAGC